rnacentral:rRNA from 1 species
UAAGACAGAGGUGCCAAGCGUUAGGCGGAAUCACUGGGCUUAAAGCGUGUGUAGGCGGAUCGUUAAGUACCUUGUGAAAUCCCACGGCUCAACCGUGGAACUGCUGGGUAUACUGGCGAUCUUGAGCCACCUAGGGGCGAGCGGAACAAACGGUGGAGCGGUGAAAUGCGUAGAUAUCGUUUGGAACGCCAAUGGUGAAAACAGCUCGCUGGGGGUGUGCUGACGCUGAGACACGAAAGCCAGGGGAGCGAACGGGAUUAGAUACCCCGGUAGUCCUGGCCCUAAACGAUGUCGACUAGAUCGUAGUGCCUCUGACGGUAUUACGGUCGAAGCAAAAGUGCUAAGUCGACCGCCUGGGAAGUACGGUCGCAAGGCUA